AUUGAACGCUGGCGGCAUGCUUUACACAUGCAAGUCGAACGGCAGCGCGGGGCAACCUGGCGGCGAGUGGCGAACGGGUGAGUAAUAUAUCGGAACGUACCCAGAAGUGGGGGAUAACGUAGCGAAAGUUACGCUAAUACCGCAUACGAUCUACGGAUGAAAGUAGGGGACCGCAAGGCCUUAUGCUUUUGGAGCGGCCGAUAUCUGAUUAGCUAGUUGGUGAGGUAAGGGCUCACCAAGGCGACGAUCAGUAGCUGGUCUGAGAGGACGACCAGCCACACUGGAACUGAGACACGGUCCAGACUCCUACGGGAGGCAGCAGUGGGGAAUUUUGGACAAUGGGCGCAAGCCUGAUCCAGCAAUGCCGCGUGAGUGAAGAAGGCCUUCGGGUUGUAAAGCUCUUUUGUCAGGGAAGAAACGGUAGAGGCUAAUAUCCUUUGCUAAUGACGGUACCUGAAGAAUAAGCACCGGCUAACUACGUG
rnacentral:rRNA from 1 species